rnacentral:lncRNA from 1 species
UAAGGUGGAAUAUAUAUGGAGAUUGUGAGUAGAUCAAUAUAGAAUCGAUCACUCUUGAUAAUAGGAGAUCACAUUCUACUUACUCUAAUCGAUUGAUGAUUUAGAAAGUCUUUGAUCAAAGUGUGAUGAAAAUUAGAAAGAGUUUCUAAUAUUUCAUUAAUCAAAUCAUCAUUAAAGAUUAAGAAAAAUAUGAAUAUAAUAUUAGAUUUGACUGUUAGAAAGUCAGAUAGGGUGCAUAUGUAGAUUUCAAAAAUCUUUUUGAUCGUAGUGGAAAAACAACCAGAUUAAACCCUUUAACCUCACAUGCAAUAGAUCUCAUCUAAUCCUACCCAAGACUCAAAAGAAAAGACAUACAUAUAAUUUGAAAAUAAAAUAAGUAUGAUAUCAAAUCUCAAUACCUUAGCGUGGAUAGAAAUUCACCGCUACUGAUGAUCUCUGGUAUGAAGUCCUCGAGCCACACACGUGUUCGACCUUUACAGAUAUCCAUCAGGAUCAAUCUUGAAUCGAUCUUCUCAUAGUAAAUCUUUCUUCUCUAAGUAGGAUCUUUGCCCUUUAGAAUCUUGAUCAACAUUUUGAUCAAGACUACAGAAUCAACUCUUUGAUCUGUAGCCUUUUCUCUUUAUUCCUUGCUGUAGAUGAAUAACUCCUCAACUCUUGGCAUGUAAAAAGGUCGCAUUCCCAACCUUUGGGCAUGGGAAAGAGAAGAGAGAGAGGGUGAGUUGUGGAGAAGGGAGAGAGGGAGAG